rnacentral:rRNA from 1 species
GAUGAACGCUGGCGGCGUGCCUAAUACAUGCAAGUCGAGCGAACGGACGAGAAGCUUGCUUCUCUGAUGUUAGCGGCGGACGGGUGAGUAACACGUGGAUAACCUACCUAUAAGACUGGGAUAACUUCGGGAAACCGGAGCUAAUACCGGAUAAUAUUUUGAACCGCAUGGUUCAAAAGUGAAAGACGGUCUUGCUGUCACUUAUAGAUGGAUCCGCGCUGCAUUAGCUAGUUGGUAAGGUAACGGCUUACCAAGGCAACGAUGCAUAGCCGACCUGAGAGGGUGAUCGGCCACACUGGAACUGAGACACGGUCCAGACUCCUACGGGAGGCAGCAGUAGGGAAUCUUCCGCAAUGGGCGAAAGCCUGACGGAGCAACGCCGCGUGAGUGAUGAAGGUCUUCGGAUCGUAAAACUCUGUUAUUAGGGAAGAACAUAUGUGUAAGUAACUGUGCACAUCUUGACGGUACCUAAUCAGAAAGCCACGGCUAACUACGUGCCAGCAGCCGCGGUAAUACGUAGGUGGCAAGCGUUAUCCGGAAUUAUUGGGCGUAAAGCGCGCGUAGGCGGUUUUUUAAGUCUGAUGUGAAAGCCCACGGCUCAACCGUGGAGGGUCAUUGGAAACUGGAAAACUUGAGUGCAGAAGAGGAAAGUGGAAUUCCACGUGUAGCGGUGAAAUGCGCAGAGAUAUGGAGGAACACCAGUGGCGAAGGCGACUUUCUGGUCUGUAACUGACGCUGAUGUGCGAAAGCGUGGGGAUCAAACAGGAUUAGAUACCCUGGUAGUCCACGCCGUAAACGAUGAGUGCUAAGUGUUAGGGGGUUUCCGCCCCUUAGUGCUGCAGCUAACGCAUUAAGCACUCCGCCUGGGGAGUACGACCGCAAGGUUGAAACUCAAAGGAAUUGGCGGGGACCCGCACAAGCGGUGGAGCAUGUGGUUUAAUUCGAAGCAACGCGAAGAACCUUACCAAAUCUUGACAUCCUUUGACAACUCUAGAGAUAGAGCCUUCCCCUUCGGGGGACAAAGUGACAGGUGGUGCAUGGUUGUCGUCAGCUCGUGUCGUGAGAUGUUGGGUUAAGUCCCGCAACGAGCGCAACCCUUAAGCUUAGUUGCCAUCAUUAAGUUGGGCACUCUAAGUUGACUGCCGGUGACAAACCGGAGGAAGGUGGGGAUGACGUCAAAUCAUCAUGCCCCUUAUGAUUUGGGCUACACACGUGCUACAAUGGACAAUACAAAGGGCAGCGAAACCGCGAGGUCAAGCAAAUCCCAUAAAGUUGUUCUCAGUUCGGAUUGUAGUCUGCAACUCGACUACAUGAAGCUGGAAUCGCUAGUAAUCGUAGAUCAGCAUGCUACGGUGAAUACGUUCCCGGGUCU